AUUGAACGCUGGCGGCUGGCUUAACACAUGCAAGUCGAGCGGAGUGAUGGUGCUUGCACUAUCACUUAGCGGCGGACGGGUGAGUAAUGCUUAGGAAUCUGCCUAUUAGUGGGGGACAACAUCUCGAAAGGGAUGCUAAUACCGCAUACGUCCUACGGGAGGAAGCAGGGGAUCACUCGGGACCUUGCGCUAAUAGAUGAGCCUAAGUCGGAUUAGCUAGUUGGUGGGGUAAAGGCCUACCAAGGCGACGAUCUGUAGCGGGUCUGAGAGGAUGAUCGGCCACACUGGGACUGAGACACGGCCCAGACUCCUACGGGAGGCAGCAGUGGGGAAUAUUGGACAAUGGGGGGAACCCUGAUCCAGCCAUGCCGCGUGUGUGAAGAAGGCCUUAUGGUUGUAAAGCACUUUUAGCGAGGAAGAGGCUUACCUAGUUAAUACCUGGGAUACGUGGACGUUACUCGCAGAAUAAGCACCGGCUAACUCUGUGCCAGCCGCCGCAGUAA
rnacentral:rRNA from 1 species